ensembl:lncRNA
AAUUAAUGGUUUAAAUUCUUAUUUGAUUCUCCUCUUUUGACUAAAAACAGAAACCCUAUUUUCCAAGAGGCCGAGAACUAAAUCGCCAAACUCAAGACAUCACAGAGACGUCCUGUCUGAUGAGGACUCAUGGAGCCACUGAAACAGCCGCUGUCGACUCUCCUGCAUGACUCACUUAUCGGCACUGCAGCAAAGGCUGACGUCCACCACACACACACACACACACACACACACACACACACACACACUCUAUACAUACCAAGUACGACCACGGGCUUCGCCGCUGCUGCUUCCUUAGAGUUUGAGCAGCCCGUUCAAGGGCACUUUGAUGGCGGCCAUUAAGGGAGAGACGCAGCGUCUCUUUCGGUUCCCGUAAUCAGAUUCUCCUUUUUGGAGUAGAAAGAGCCCCGAACAGUAAUGAAACACACACAGACACACACACACACACAACACAACGGGGAUAUUGGAAUACUGGGGCCUCACUAAUGUCCCGCAUUAGGACGGCGUAGCUGCAGGGGAAGACAUUAUUCAGCAAAACAGAGGCAGGACACACACACACUCUCAUUUCGCUCUCCUCUCUGUUCAGACCCGGUAUAUUUUAUUUCAUGGAUCCUCAUCCAACGUUGAUUCAGUCGGAUCCAUCUGUGAGAGACAAUAAGCAGGCUCGGUAAACACAGAAAGAAAGACACACAAAAACAUCCACACACGAAUGCAGGACGUCGGCGGGAGUCUCCCAAUCGAUGAUCUUCACGCAACAGAAAGCACAUCAACGCACGCGUCGCUUCCCGUGAACACACACUGCGUAAAGACGGCGUCUCCUGGGACCGAGGUGGAUCCUCUGCCCUCGUCGUCUCAGUCCACUGUGACACCGGUGCUUUCGUGAGGCUUAAGAGUUCAUCGAUCCCGAGAUGAUAUCUACCUUGAAACAAAUACUGUCCGUGCGAGCGGACGGGAUGUUUGGGUUCGUUGCCUCGGCCCGUUUUCAGCAGCGUGAAGCGAUGCUGCACCAGGCUGAUUCUCCUCUCCUGAACCCUUUCACCUCCCCCCUCCCCCCCCAAACGUCUCAGGGGCGUCCCGUAUUCCCUGACAGGUGUGUGAAGUCGCCUCCUGCUGGCUACGCUAACCCGAGGCCGUGCUACAAACAACACUUUCUUUUGUGACUCGCAGAGGCAGUCGUGUAUUUGGCUUUUAGCCCUUUGUCUACAUUUUAAAGUACGAGUCAUCUUCAGCGGGCUUUUCGGGGCUUUCUCAGGACGCUGCUGUCUUUUAGCCACUGCACAUCCCAGGAGGAGAUGAGCCGCUUCUUUCUGCUGUAAUGGAAGAUUCCAGGUAAUUGGGGGAAGUAUAUUGGUCACUGGACACUUUUCUUCAGCUCAUUUUUCUGAGCCUCAAUGGACUCAAUGUGUUUACGUGUGUGUGUGUGUGUGUGUGCGUGUGUGUGUGUGUGUGUGUGUGUAUACCGCUACCGACAGUCUGACAAAUACUUACUCUACACAAAUUCACAUCGCAUUGUGCUCAGGCAAUCGAGUCACAGUCGGACCCGAUAUAAACAUCAUCCAAAGCAUUCGCUCACAAUAAGCACAUCACAUCUGAACAUCCGAGCUUAAUAUCGCGGAACGGAAACAAUAUAAACUAUAAACACAGCCUCGAAACAUCACAGAAACCGCCAGUCACGCAUCUCCAUCACCAUGAGGGCAGAAUGCUGGUGUGUGUGUGUGUGUGUGUGUAGAUGAACACAGUAUGAAUCCGUGAAAAAACGCACCCUGCGACCGAUGCGCGAUGUCGCUGAGCGCCUAAAAUACAGACGAACGCUCCGGACGAAAAUGCGUUCUGGAGUUCACCGUCAGUUCAGCUCCGUCUCGGUCAUGUGACCUCUGACCUUGGCAAACCAGAUCAGUCACUCCUCGCUAAGCUAACGUUAGCUUCUCAAGCUGAUCUGCAAAAGCCGCGGAGAAAAGGGCACCAGGUGCGUGUGUGUUACGCAAUGAGAACCAACAGGCGAAGACGUCCUGAGGAGGCCGGCGUCCACCGACGGCGUGUCGCGCCCAUCGAGGUCACAAAGUUUUGGCCGCAGAGUAAAAAAACGGCCUCCAGCGUUUUUUUCCGGCCGUGGAUUUGUCACAGGUGGUCAUCGUCACGUGGCGGGUCUGACGUCAGGACCUCUUGGCGCCAUCCAAGCAGUGCGUCGCGCGCGAAGGAGACGGAACCAUCGGCGGCGUGACUCGCGCCCCCGUGGGGAGACGGCGGCGGCGUCUUCGGAGAGGUUAAUCGUGCGAGCGCCUCGCUGUGAGGCGCCUCGUCUCUCUCUCCGGCCUUAUUUCUCCUCCAGACUCCACCUUCCUGUCCGGGGAGCAGCUUCUUGGCGGCGGAGCAAAGGAACGUCAAGGUGGGCCGGUCGGAGCCGAGGGGGGCCCGAGCCCGGCCUCCAGAGAGAGCGCGAGGAAGGGGGGGAAGAACGUAGUCCCAUGACGGCGGGCAGGACGGUCGGACCAGCAUGCAUCUGGAAGCACGUGGUUGGUUAAGAAGAAGAUCAAACCCGUUAGCAUGACUCCACGGAGCGUGAUCGUUGCAGCGGAGUGAGAGGAAAAGCAGGAAGCGCACACGCUAAACAUUUAACCAGAGCACACGGAUAAACGUUCAUUUUCCUUCCCGUUUGUGAGGGCUCAGAUGUUGUUGUUUUGUUCCGUUUUCCUCCCACUUAACCUCGCAGCUUAAAGCGGCGUGCACAAACAAAAACAAAGGAAACUUUCUUUCUCUCCUCCUCCUCAAACAGCUCCUUUCCUUGAGGCCAACAUUGCACAGUCAACACAUUACCCCCUCCACCAACGCGCACACACACACACACACACACACACUCUCACGCCACAGGACAGGCAGCCCAUUCUCUUUUAGUGCUGUCACUCCACAUUAAGGAUGCUCACCCUCAAAUGACCGGCUGCAGGCUGCAGCAGCAACCUUGUUUUUACAUAAGCACCUCCGACACACUCGCACUGCAGCCGGCAGCGCGUCCCCCCCCCCCCCCCCCACUCGACUGAGGACGGAGGACGCUCGUUGACAAGCCGUCCGUUGCACAGGCUGGACUUCCAACCUUAGCCAACAGAAAAAAACGACACAAAAGUCCUGAUUUUCGAAAUGCUUUAUGAUUUGUCUUCAUGUUUAAAAAGAUGUUCCCAAUUACCUAAAGACUUUUUCGCAAGAACGUCUUAAUGUUCAAGAAACAUCACAUUUCAAACUGGCCUCAUUAACCAAAAAACAUUGUUGACCUAUAUAUUUUGAAAUACUUCCCAGAUUUCCCGAAAUGGAAAUUUUCCGAGAGGAGCUUAAAAUUCAAAUCCGUCCUCACAAAGGUAGCAGACAG